UGGGGGAUAUUGCACAAUGGGCGAAAGCCUGAUGCAGCGACGCCGCGUGGGGGAUGAAGGCUUUCGGGUUGUAAACCUCUUUCGCUAUCGAACAAGGCCCGCUUAGGGUGGGUUGAGGGUAGGUGGAGAAGAAGCGCCGGCUAACUACGUGCCAGCAGCCGCGGUAAUACGUAGGGCGCGAGCGUUGUCCGGAAUUAUUGGGCGUAAAGGGCUUGUAGGCGGCUUGUUGCGCCUGCUGUGAAAACGCGGGGCUUAACUUCGCGCGUGCAGUGGGUACGGGCAGGCUUGAGUGUGGUAGGGGUGACUGGAAUUCCAGGUGUAGCGGUGGAAUGCGCAGAUAUCUGGAGGGACACCGAUGGCGGAGGCAGGUCACUGGGCCAUUACUGACGCUGAGGAGCGAAAGCAUGGGUAGCGAACAGG
rnacentral:rRNA from 1 species